rnacentral:misc_RNA from 1 species
GAUGAAGAACGCAGUAAAAUGCGAUAAGUAAUGUGAAUUGCAGAAUUCAGUGAAUCAUCGAAUCUUUGAACGCACAUUGCGCCCGCCAGUAUUCUGGCGGGCAUGCCUGUUCGAGCGUCAUUUCAACCCUCAAGCCCUCGGGUUUGGUGUUGGGGAUCGGCGAGCCUUUCUGGCAAGCCGGCCCCGAAAUCUAGUGGCGGUCUCGCUGCAGCCUCCAUUGCGUAGUAGUAAAGCCCUCGCAACUGGAACGCGGCGCGGCCAAGCCGUUAAACCCCCAACUUCUGAAUGUUGACCUCGGAUCAGGUAGGAAUACCCGCUGAACUUAAGCAUAUCAAUAAGCGGAGGA